ensembl:lncRNA
GCACACUUGGAUAUCUCCAUGUUGACAGAAGAAAAGCCACCAAACUGCACAAGCACAAGACCACAGGAAGCUAUUGCCAUGAUAUAUUCACUCCAAGCAGACAACGAUUGAAAUCAUCAGACGCCACACUCAGUUAAAGUAUGCAAACGAGUAUUUAAGGAAGCCUCAGAAUCUGUCCAUCUCCAUUAUAUUUCCUGUUACUCCACCCUCUUUUCCUCAUCUUGCCCUGUGGGUCUCUUGCAUCUCGCUGCCAAUCUGCAAUCUGUUAUGGCCAGCCCAGUCAAGCUGGGUGUUUUCUCGAAGUCACAACAGGUUUGAGUUGUUCUGUGCAUAUCGAGUUAACAGCUCUCUGCUUCGGCUGAGGCAUGUCAUCUCCCAGGCAAGCAAAUCAAUCAUCUUUUUUCUUUUUGAGUGAUCAGGACAAACCUCCAAUGUCAUCCCUCCAUCUUCCCCCCAAAGCACACGGUUAUAUUCUCUCUUUCACUUCCUACACUCUCAUAUAUUUCUCAUUCUGUCUCCCCAACCCCCCACCUACCUCGCUCUUAUUCUCUCUAUUUUUCCAUUUUUGUCACUCUCCCAAUUUUUCUUGCUUUGCUUCCCUCCGGGUCCUCUGGUCAAACCGUACAGGGAGCUUACUAAUGAAUCAAAUGAGCUGUCGACACAGGAAAACCUCUGGACCAAACUGCUGGAAGAAACUGGAUGGUAAUUUAUAACAAGCUCCAAAAAGGCAGCAUAAAAGUACACAUAUUUGGGUACCACUUUACAAAAAAAUUUAAUAGGCCCAUUCGUUAAUGUAGUUAAUGCAUUAACAUCAACUUACAAUGAGCAACACAUUUGCUGUUUAUAUAUACAUUUACAUAACAUAUAUAUGUAUGUGUGUGUGUGUGUGUGUGUGUGUGUGUAUUGCACUUUAUACAAUGAAUUAGUUUGAUGAAGUAUGUUUGUUCAAUACAGCACAAUUAAGAUUGUUAUAUUUACAAUGAAUAUCUGAAUAAUGCAUGCUUGAAUAAUUCAGAAGAAUGCAUUUUAUUUUUACAGUUUGGCAGUUUUAUUUAUACUGUUGUUACUGCUGAUGCUGUUGUUAAUUGAAUAACUUGUUUAGCAACACCUGAGAAUUUCUACUCACACGAUUUGUUUGUGUGCAAAAAUGUUACAGAGGUUGUUACAAAUGAAAAAAUGGUGCACAAAAACUUGCAGAAUCAUUGUCCAUCUAACCCUUGCACAAUCCACUUUAUUUUUAAUGCGUGUCAAGUUUGGCCAAUUCUAACUUGGCAUUCGAAAUCCAGUUGUUGUCUUUUUUUUGUUUUUUGUUUUUUUUUUGCCUGUGAAAAAAACAACCUGUCAUGCUGCUUUAUAUUGCAUACUGGUGCUUCUUCUUGUAUUAUUUUACUAUUGUAAUCCUGAACACACUGUUUUGUAGUGCAAAUAGUUUUACCAUUUACUGCACUUUGUUAUUCUUCUAGUUACUGACCUACAGUGGCUAAUGAAUCAGAAGUCUUGGGACAUUUACAGAAAAUGGUGGACACUCCAAGUCGUCUCAAAGCGUAAGACAGUUUUGUGUGAAGAACAGCAUGAUCAUGUCAAACUUAAUGAGAAUAGAGUCUGCAUUUUGUAUUUGAAGGAGUAAAUGAGAUUUGAGAGAUCCUCCUGAGAGGAAGAUUAGUAGUGAAUAGCUUAAAUUUCAGUCUGUUCUUCACACAAAGUUUUUGUAAUUUCAUGUAACUGCUUUAAGUACUUUAUGUAAUCCUUUUUGGAGUUUGCCAGAAUGAAUCACCGACCACUUUCACUUUUUGGAAGAGAGCAGCACUGACAUUCUGUGAACUAUUCCUUUAAAUACAACACACUUUAUAUGGAACACUUUGAGCCUCUGGAAGCCUGCGCUUCACUAUCUGUGCUGCUUUGGCUAUUGGCCCGACAGAGCACACAGCCUACAGAACUGAUCACUCACAGGAGACGAGCCAGGGCCUUAGCCAAACGCAACAAUCAGAGUACCAAUAUUUACACUGAAGGCUGAAUUCUCGAUGCAUGUUCCAGAGCUGGUUUAAAGAGAGGAAAAAUGAGCAUGUCUUUGGCAGCCAUUGCGGUGAGCUCUAUCUUUCUUGAGGUCGGUCGCAGCGACAGUGUGUAACGUACCUCAGCGGUGCAGAGUGUAAUUAAGAGUGCAGCAUAAGUGGAGCGCGUCCCUGCGGAAAAUGAGGCCACGGCUGCAGCCACUGGAGGUGAUGACGGCUGCGUGACUACAGGGCGAGAGAGAGAAAGAGAGAGCGCUCUGUUCCAAUCAGAAUCUCAAAAACAAACAUGCUAGCGAACCUGGAGGCCUAUAUUUAAAAGGCUGACAGAAGAGAGCAGGGAGAAAGGGUGAGAGAGCAAAUGAUGAGAUCUGCCUGCGAAGAAAAAAAAAUCUGAUCAGGAUAUCCUUAAAGGAAACACGCUGAGCGAAGAGACAGACGCCAAGAAAGAAAUGCUCUGCUAUUAUUAGCUUCUUGAUAACGAAGCAAGAAAUAGCAUCCAACAGCUAUUGCACAGAAUGAUCUGAGGGGAUGUACGGGAAAGUUCAGUGCAUUUCGUGCACCCCCACCCCAUGAGGGGUGGAAGCAUUUUCAAAAGUUUUGCAAAAUGCUUCACGCUAUAUUGUCAAAUUCUCGAGAUCAGAGUCAGCAUUCUGGUUUUAAAGGGACAUUCCACCCAAAAUGAAAAUUCUCUGAAAAUGUGUGUUUACUUACCCUUAUGUCGCCCCAGAUGUGUAUUACUUACUAUUAUUAUCAGAUGAACAAAAACAAUGAAAAAUAAUCCAUCUCUGUGAGGUUCUGUAAUGUAAUUGUACGGGACAACCAAAAUUGAUGCUUCAAAAACGACAAAGUGAACAUGACGGUAAACCAUACAACCCCAAAUGAUAAUUCAAUGUCUUCAACGAAAUGAUAGGUAUAAGAAAAAUAAUUGUUCACGCCAAUUAAUAUAUAUGAGGGGUUUGACAGCCUAUUAGCUAAUCUUCAAUAUAUUUACCAUUAAACAUUCAUUUUGGAUCAAACUUUUUUUGCAGAAAAAAUUGAGUUAUAUAAGAGAUUUUUUUUUUUCUUUUUCUUUUUCUGACAGUUAGGAUUCAGUUUACGGUACUUCUGAGUCAUUUCUAUGGUAUCUGAUAAACAGUGAUUAACUGUUGCACAACUUUGACAGAAAGUCAUUGACAUCAGGGCUGUUAUGUGAUUGGUUAUCAAGGCACAUGUGAUCUACAUUGCAAUGUUACAAACGCAGACCUUGGCAUCUCCUAAUAUUAAGACCAUCUCUGGCGACAGUCCUCUGUGGUUCCAUAUCACUUCUCACAUGAGCUUUAAAGUGCACUUACAUAUGAAACUUGGCUGGAAGUGAUGGUUUAUGGUUUAAAAAAUGUAAAAUAUUAGAAUUUUCUUACAUCACUUGUUCACUGUAUGCGAGGUGCAUAACACAAAGUGACAGACGACAAUAGAGCUCAUCUGGAUCAACCCUGGAGGUCCUGUACACAUUAUACAGAUUCACAAAAAUCUAUUAUUUUUCUUCUAAUUUGAAGAAUGAAAGCCCUACAGAUCUGGGAUGGCUAUGAGGGUGAGUAAAUGAUCAGAGAAUUUUUGGGUGGAUCAUUCCUUUAAAAGACAAUCAAACCUUCUGGAUGAGGAACAAUGCAACGCAUAUCUCUAUUCCCUUCGAACCUCCUUCUCUCUUCCUCCCUAAAGUGGUUUAAAUCUGCUGGGCUGCAAGGGGUCAAGCAACAGAGAUGGAAGUCUUCCUGGUGAAGCACACCAACCUUUUAAAUGAAAACAAGCUCUGUGUUAUCCUGAAACAGAAUUUUCUAGUAUCCUCUGGCAGUGCAAAGUCACAGAUGCUCAUCCUUUGCCUUGAAAAAAAGUACAGCUUAACUUUCUUUAACUCUUGCAGAAACCACUCGUUCCAGAUGUGUGGAUGGGCCGUUCUUUUAUGCCAUUAGUGCAUUAACCCCUGACCAUUUUGAAAGACCCGACCGGUUUCCUGCCCCCUCAAGGAAACAAAAACAGCUUAAAAUGCGCCAUGUGGUGUUUUCCAAAUAGGAAACUCAUCGCAGAGAUCUUCAAAGGAGUUUGCUGGAGGACUUCUGGAUUACAGCAAGGUCUGACGCCAGACUUUUUAGCAACAUGUGGAUGCCAAUUAUGAAAAAACGUACCUUGACCUUUCACAACAGGUGAUGAAACAAAAACUUUUUUUCUGGAUCUACCUCUCAGUCACACAGAAGGAAGCAUCGCUGCCAAACACCCCCACAUUUGGCAGCUGAACUGUAGCCAUCCAUGGAGAUAGUAUGUGUUUGCGAACGUGUGUGUAUCCACCAAGUGCCAAUACUCGGAGAUCUGGCACAUCACCUGUUGCCGUGUGUGCGCUCGUGCUGCCGAGGGGAACCAUCGCUUGGCCAGUGUUUAUGUUUGUAUCAUUUUCUUGUCCCUGAAACAGACGGCCAUCGCCUUCUCCAGAGGAAACGCAAGCUAAAACAAAGCCAAACGCGGAGACUAAAAUGCUUACUGACAAAACAUCAUACAGAAAUCUGAAAAUAAAGGUUCAGUUCACCUG